CCUACGGGUGGCUGCAGUGGGGAAUAUUGCACAAUGGGCGCAAGCCUGAUGCAGCCAUGCCGCGUGUGUGAAGAAGGCCUUCGGGUUGUAAAGCACUUUCAGCGGGGAGGAAGGCGGUGAGGUUAAUAACCUCAUCGAUUGACGUUACCCGCAGAAGAAGCACCGGCUAACUCCGUGCCAGCAGCCGCGGUAAUACGGAGGGUGCAAGCGUUAAUCGGAAUUACUGGGCGUAAAGCGCACGCAGGCGGUCUGUCAAGUCGGAUGUGAAAUCCCCGGGCUCAACCUGGGAACUGCAUUCGAAACUGGCAGGCUAGAGUCUUGUAGAGGGGGGUAGAAUUCCAGGUGUAGCGGUGAAAUGCGUAGAGAUCUGGAGGAAUACCGGUGGCGAAGGCGGCCCCCUGGACAAAGACUGACGCUCAGGUGCGAAAGCGUGGGGAGCAAACAGGAUUAGAUACCCAUGUAGUC
rnacentral:rRNA from 1 species